GAACUGAUUAUCUCGUGUACCGGAGACGGUCUCAUCUUUGGGAUCCGUCCGUGACGGCCGCACAACCCUCUAAGAAGUUCUGAGUUC
rnacentral:snoRNA from 1 species